rnacentral:lncRNA from 1 species
CAACCUGACAGACCUCAUCGUCGUCGACGUCCCCAUCUCCACCUCUAUGAUUUUUUUUUUAUCUCAUUCCACCAAAAUAGGAUUUCAAUCCAACAAAGAGAGUCCGGAUUGGAUUGGAGGGGAUUGGGCCAUUCUCAUUCCAUCCCAGAAUCGGAAUCGAAGUAGAACUCCCUCGAACCAAAUGGCUGGAAUGGGAGUCAUCCAUUCCGAUUCUCAUUGUAGAUCUAAUUUUCUCCAAUCA